AAAGGAUUUCUUCCGACAGACGUGACCCCAGAAGGCUGCCGAGGGAGACUUUAGGACAAGAGGCGUUGUUUUUUUUCAGCGUGGCCGCAUUUGGAAAAGGCUGAAGGUAGAAAACUCUGGAAUGGAGAGGCUGGCGACUGGAGCAGGAUCCAGGGGCUUUAAAUUUUAACCUGAAUGCGAUCGAAUGCGCGACUCCCAGAAGAGAUA
rnacentral:lncRNA from 1 species